rnacentral:rRNA from 1 species
UACGGAGGAGGCAAGCGUUAUCCGGAAUUAUUGGGCGUAAAGCGUCCGUAGGUGGCUCUUCAAGUCUGCUGUCAAAGAGUGGGGCUUAACCCUGCAAAGGCAGUGGAAACUGAAAGGCUAGAGAGCCGUAGGGGUAGAGGGAAUUCCCGGUGUAGCGGUGAAAUGCGUAGAGAUCGGGAAGAACAUCGGUGGCGAAAGCGCUCGACUGGAGGGUAGCUGACACUGAGGGACGAAAGCUAGGGGAGCGAAUGGG